AGUGAACGCUGGCGGUAGGCCUAACACAUGCAAGUCGAACGGCAGCACAGUAAGAGCUUGCUCUUACGGGUGGCGAGUGGCGGACGGGUGAGGAAUACAUCGGCAUCUACUUUUUCGUGGGGGAUUACGUAGGGCAACUUACACUAAUACCGCAUACGACCUACGGGUGAAAGCAGGAGAUCUUCAGACCUUGCGCGUUAGUAUGAGCCGAGGUCGGAUUAGCUAGUUGGCUGGGUAAAGGCCCACCAAGGCGACGAUACGUAGCUGAUCUGAGAGGAUGAUCGGCCACACUGGAACUGAGACACGGUCCAGACUCCUACGGGAGGCAGCAGUGGGGAAUAUUGGACAAUGGGCGCAAGCCUGAUCCAGCCAUGCCGCGUGAGUGAAGAAGGCCUUCGGGUUGUAAAGCCCUUUUGUUGGGAAAGAAAAGCUGCAGGUGAAUACCCCGCUGUUCUGACGGUACCCAAAGAAUAAGCACCGGCUAACUUCGUG
rnacentral:rRNA from 1 species